rnacentral:lncRNA from 1 species
AGCAGCAUGGAGCCUGCAGCGUCCCUUACCCCAAGCACCACACACUGCUUCCCGCAGGGCAAACCCUGUGCACGUCUCCAGAGAAUCAUACACUUUUGUGGGGGCUCUGCCUGAACAGCCUGCAAAUGCAAAAGGCUCAGCUGGAUGUAUUCACACACAGGGACAAGGAGCAGCUCCUCACUGCUGCACCAGCCUGGCCGCUUUUCACUCCACUAUUCCUCCUCCGCCAACCCGCAUCUCUUUUGUUCCUCCGUUCCUCAUUCCCACGUUUCUGUGCUGCCCUCCCACACAUCCCCUGCGCUACCCAACAGCCUGCCCUUCUACAGUCUUCUCCAAGUUUCCUUCUCAGCCAUCAAUUCUUUGGGAUUUUCUGCAGUCAGAGGAGCAGGAAUUGAAAUUGGAAAUACCAGCCCUGGGGCCCUCUCCCCUUAACAGUCUCUGGUACUGGUAUAGAGCUCACAGAAGACAGUACCAAGCCAAGGGGGGCAGCAUUCAUGCAUGCACUAGUCCCCAGCUUGGGGCCUUCUACUCUAUAACAGCAAUAAAAAACUGCCCAUUCAAGUCCUUUGUCUCAAAGAUUUCCAUCCUGGCUACAGCAAGUGCAGAUUUAUUGGUGGGAGCAAUUGCAGGAGGAAUAGUAAACAGCGUGCGCGUGCGUGCGGAUGCACCAGCGCAUCAGGGCCGUGCCUCCACCAGAAACUCAGCACAGCCAACAUUAAGUACGGGACUAAUAUAAAAUGGGUUCUCAUUUGGCACCUGAUCUCACGAGAUCCACAGCACAGUGAGAGCUGGUGGGGAGGCAGGGAUGGGCAGGGACCCAAGAGCUGGCCGGGUCUGAGGAGUCAGGCACGGCCUCACCACGCACAGGGAGGCACGGCGUGGCCUCCGCUGGCUCCCAGCCUGCUCACACGCAGGCUGAGCUGCACCUGUGUGCACCACUGCCUGCCUCACCGCUGCUGAAAGGCGCAGCACAAACCAGAGUACAACCCACACCAAGAGCCUGCCACGGGCAGCGCCCAGGCUCCCACCCCAAACCUCCCG